rnacentral:rRNA from 1 species
CCUACGGGUGGCUGCAGUGGGGAAUAUUGGACAAUGGGCGAAAGCCUGAUCCAGCCAUGCCGCGUGUGUGAAGAAGGCCUUCGGGUUGUAAAGCACUUUCAGUGGGGAAGAAAGCCUUGGGGCUAAUACCCUCGAGGAAGGACAUCACCCACAGAAGAAGCACCGGCUAACUCCGUGCCAGCAGCCGCGGUAAUACGGAGGGUGCGAGCGUUAAUCGGAAUUACUGGGCGUAGAGCGCGCGUAGGCGGUCUGAUAAGCCGGUUGUGAAAGCCCCGGGCUCAACCUGGGAACGGCAUCCGGAACUGUCAGGCUAGAGUGCAGGAGAGGAAGGUAGAAUUCCCGGUGUAGCGGUGAAAUGCGUAGAGAUCGGGAGGAAUACCAGUGGCGAAGGCGGCCUUCUGGACUGACACUGACGCUGAGGUGCGAAAGCGUGGGUAGCAAACAGGAUUAGAUACCCUUGUAGUC